AAUGAAAUUUAUUUUGAAAUUUAAAAGUUUGUCUUUAAAUGUUUAUUUUAUGUUUUAGAUCAGCUGCACUUGGAUCCACUCUUUUCAUGUCCCAAUCUAUUCUAUAGCACAAAAGUCUAUGCUUUUGGUAUUCUCAUACCAUUGAGAAGCAGAGGAUACUAGAAAUUUCACAGAGCUUAUUCUGGAGCUGAACUCAAUGAAGGCUUUCUCUUGAUAGCAGUGGGAGAUGGAGCUGACCCUAUGCCUUCAAACCUUGUCAGGUUUUCCCUUCUCUAGCAGUCACCCUGGAGUUUGCUACUUGUGAAUCAGUUCAGCCUGUCAACCUUCAGUUAUUAAGUGUUUGAUGAGUUAGUUGCAGAAAAGCUUGUUAUGUAACAAAUUAUAUAACCGAUCUUAUCAUUCCCAAAGAAGAGAAAGUUUGCAGCAACCAUCUGGGAAAUAAAUGCUUGAAUCCUC